rnacentral:lncRNA from 1 species
GAGCAGAAAUGGCACGUUUGCAUCCGUGAUGUUUGUUCUGUCUCAUUCUGGAUAUAACAGCGGGAAGCUGGGCUGAGGCUGCAGCCGGGGAUGUGCUGUGGGCUGCUGCUCUUCUGUGAGACAGGGAAACAGCUGAGGUGAGUCCUUUGAAAACUGCUCUUAAUUACACAUACAGCACUCAUAGCUCGGUUACUGAACACGCCUGGAAAACUUAAUUCCUCUUGCCUUUCCCAGUAUACAUGUCUGAAAAAUAGAGGGAGCUGCUGUCCUCCCAGGGCAGAGGAGCUUUAGCUGUAAAGAAUGUGGCUUCCUCCCCCCCAUCCAACGUACUCUGAUAAGAUGAGAGACAGUGUGUCCCUGGCCUUUGCCCCCCUGGGGGCUGCAAGUCAGUACUCUCAAAAUAUCCUGAGGUUAUCUUUCAGGCAAGGGGCUUUGUGUUCUUCUCCUCGGAGCUGGGCCACUGCCGUCUGCUCGCUCUGAUCCCCUUCCUUAGAGUUUCGGUGUCGUGACCCUAACACGUAGGAUGGAGAAAAUAAGAGCGCUUCAUUCUAUGUUUGCGACACAGCAGGGGGCAGCUGGCAUUCAGCAGGACAGGGACCAGAGCAGCAAGGCUGCAAGGAGAAGUCUUCUGUUUCUGGCACAGCGGAUAGGAGCAGCUGCUGACCGCCCACAGCUUCGCUGGGAGAGGAGUCCCCUCGCUGCUGUAGCUCAUGGAGAGGCACCACAGGGUCCCCCUUCUGUUCUCCAUGGCCUUUGCUGUGCUGCUCUCAUGCUUUUCUGAACCUGACCGCAGCCUGUAAACUAAAACUGCUGCUGGUGCUGUGCCUGGGCUUUGCUCCGUGCAGAUCGUACCCCAGGGGGUCCUGAUUUCUGGCUGAAGUUCCCAGGUAAUGCUGCAGAAUAUGUUCUUUUUUCUUAUGCAUACCUCUGUGUUUAAGGGAGAGCCCUAAAUAUCAUUUAUUGCUGAUGGGGGAAAAAAGAGAAAACACAACUGAUUCUUGUGGAAAAAGAGAUAGUAAAGUAGGGGAACUUAUUUACGGGCGGUUAUUCUCACUAUAUGGAUUGAUUGCGUGGCCAAUAUCUGUUUUUAUCUGCUCUUCCAUCUCUUAAUACACAUUUAUCCUCAUUUAUCACCACUGUUGUGUAGUCAAGGCGAUUUCUAGUCCAGGGGUUUCUCAGGGAGCGGGAGGCAGCCUCUCGGUUUCUGCAAGGCGGAUUUCAACUCUGGGGGGGGCGGGAAAUGGGCUUCUUCCUUUUCCCCAAGGGUCUGGAAAUGAAUUUUAUCAGAGCCUUUUAACACCUCUCACUGUUCACUCAGUGUUCUGUAGCUCACACCUUUCAUCACUGCAGCAUUACCGGAACAUUAAGAACUGGUGUAUUGAGCAAAGAUUUAUUUUGAAGGUAAAAAUUGGGAUUUUGCCUCCUCCUGCUGUUUCAGUGCACGUGUAGCUCUCGGCAGGCAUUGUGCCAUGGAAAGGAUGGAUAAUGUGAUAGACAAUCUGCAGGCAGCAAGGUCCAGGCACCCGGCGAUGCAGAAACGCGGCUGCGUGCAGAUCCCUGCUGCUGGAGGGCUCGGAUCCUGGCAGCUCUGUGGCAGAGAGGGGGAAUAUGACAAAACACAGUAAAACCGAAGGCGUCAGCUCCAGUAAGUGCUUCUCCCGAGUGCCUGUGUGACCGAGGGCAUUGUCUGUGGGAUGUGGAGCCCAGGUUUCUGCAGGCCAGGCUUGCCAGCUCCUCGCUGAAGUGGCCGCUCUCGGCCUCGCUGCGGACUGGGGCGUGAG